CGGGGCCCGGAGGGGGCGGGGCGCCACGGAGGCGGCGUAAGGAGGGCCCCCGCGUCCAUCCCUCCCGCCUUCCUCCCCCCUCAGACGUGGCGGGGGAAGGGCCGCGCGAUGUGGCAGCGAUCUGCGUGCGUGGGCCUGCUGGCCCUGGCGCUGGGCUACCUUUGCCUACUUGGUCCCCGGCCGCCCCCCUCCAUCCUACAGCACCUCUCCGCCUCUCUGCUGGGCGGGCUGAGCCGCGCCGGCUCCCUGGAGAGCCGCAUGGUAGCGGCCUGGCAGGCGGCCAUCGUCCGCCCGGCGCGGGGCUGGGGGCGCGUCGCCGUCGGCGUCAAUGCCUGCGUCGACGUGGUUCUGUCCGGCGUGAAGUUGUUGGAGGCACUUGGUCUUAAACCCGGGUUGGGAAAGAAUCAUGAUGUCCUGAACUCCAGACAGGACCUGAGAGAAGCAUUCACUCACUUCAUGGAGAAAGGAGCGGCUGCCGAACGCUUCUUCAGCGACGCAGAGUCCUUCCAUCACAUAGCACAGACUGCCUCGCAGCACCCUGGGGCACAGCUUUACGUUGGAGGCAAUGCUGCUCUCAUUGGUCAGAAGCUUGCAGCAAAUCCAGACCUGAAGAUCCUCCUUUGUGGCCCAGUUGGUCCCAAGCUCCAUGAGCUACUAGAUGACAACGUGGUUGUGCCACCUGAAUCCAUGCAGGAAAGAGAUGAGUUCCAUCUUAUCCUGGAGUAUCAAGCAGGUGAAGAGUGGGGACAAGCGAAGGCACCCAACGCCAACCGCUUUAUCUUCUCCCAUGACCUCUCAAACGGGGCCCUCAACAUGCUGGAAGUGUUCGUGUCCAGCUUGGAGGAGUUUCAACCUGAUCUCGUGGUACUUUCAGGACUGCACAUGAUGGAAGGCCAGAGCAAGGAGGUGCGGCACAGACGUCUUAUGGAGGCGGUAGCCUCCAUCUCUGACAUUCCUACUGACAUUCCUAUACACCUGGAGCUGGCCAGUAUGACUGAUCAGGACUUUAUGAGCAACAUUGUGCAUCAGCAGGUCUUUCCCCUGGUGAACUCCAUCGGUCUGAACGAGCAGGAGCUGCUCUUCCUCACGCAGUCAGCCUCUGGUCCCCACGCCUCCCUGGCUUCCUGGAACGGCGUCCCCGACGUGGGUGCCGUCAGCGACAUCCUCUUCUGGAUCCUGAAGGAGCACGGGAAGACUGCGGACCGGGCCUCGGAUCUCACACGGAUCCACUUCCACACGCUGGCCUACCACAUCCUCGCCACAGUGGACGGGCACUGGGGCAACCAGGUGGCUGCUGUGGCUGCCGGUGCCAGAGCGGCAGGGGCGCAGGCCUGCGCGACAGAAACCAUCGAUACUAGCAGGGUCUUUCUUAAAGCUCCUCUGGAGUUUGUCACCUCCCAGAUAGAGGCUCCUUCCAAAAUAUCCUUAAAUCCAGACGAGCCAGUGGUGCAUUGGCACAGAGAAGGCAUCUCCUUCCAUUUCACGCCUGUUCUGGUGUGCAAAGAUCCCGUGCGGACCGUGGGACUCGGGGAUGCUAUCUCAGCUGAAGGACUGCUAUAUUCAGAAAUAAAUCUUCAGUAGAAGACCGAGGUCCCCUUUGUCUCCAGUACUGUACGGUGUCUGAGGAACCGUGCUGUUAUCACUAGGAUUUCAGCCGGCGCUGAUAUAGGAACAGAGUCAGGGUGCAGUGUGUUUUCUGGGUAUAACAGAAGAGCCAAAGAACAAUUCCAGGUGUAAACCGUCAGAUACAUUCCAGUCGCUUUGCAGUGACUAGAACACCUCGUGUUUAAGUGCAGAGGUUUUCAUAUUUAAUGUGAAAAUUGGCUUUUCUUUGUCUUAAGUAUUUGGGGGGGGGACACACAAUCAAAAUCCCCAUUUGGAGGAGGCCUGCUCUUUGUAACUGCACGUGGGCCUUGUCUGCUAGUGCUGGAAAAUGUGGCAGCCCUGAGAGCUUCGCGCAGCGCUGCUCAGCCCUGUCUUGCUUAUGAUAAAGUAAAAAUAGAAAACUCCUGCAUUAUCUCCUCCCAGCACAUGGCUAGGUGGCAGGAGCAAACCUUCCGCUCGCUCAGUGUGCUGAUGAAAUCUGUUCCUGACAAAAUUACCUCUCAACCUCAGUGCCCCUGCGGCGGAGGGAGCCAGAGCCCGAAAAUGUGAUGCACGCUGUACCUGCUCCUUCAGUGCACAGCAUAGCUUUGUCUCUGCCACUUCCAGUUCCUAUUUCCAUAGCUAUCAUACGGAUAUUUUCAGUGUCACAGUUAAAUGUCUGUGCAAACCUGUGCUGUACCAGGAUCGUAGGUCAUCCGAGCAGCAGGAGGAGAGUCAGGAUCACCGAGGCUGGAGCGACCUGUUUCAGCAAGGCUGCUGUAUGGCAUUUAGUGAUGUCCUCCCGGUGGAAAACACCAUUGUGAAUGCUCUGUAAGGACAAAGAUUGACAGCUGCUUGAACUUUUAUGGACGCCAUGCAAAAUGUUAUCUGUCAGCAUGUAUUUAACUGCUCCUCUCCCUCUGAGCAAAGUCGUCUGUGAGACGAGAGAAACGGUCAGUGCUGUGUUUUCCCACUGCGUGUCCCACGCUGGCCUCCUGCUGACUCUCAGUAUGUAUCUCAGUGCAGGAUCUCCCCAAGACUGGACACCUUUCUCUUCUGUGUCUUUUUACAAGUUAUUAUUUAUAAACUGUAGCGCGGGACUCGGAGUUCUGGGUUAGUCUUCCUACAGGAAAAAAACAUAACAAAUAAAAAACAUCUCCUGACAACCGUCUGCAGGUCUGAGGCCGUCAGCAGGGGCGUUGUGUGACCUUUGAUCAUGGCUGGCUGGGACCACCAGCAGCUUCCCUGGCAUCGGACCAGGCAGCGUGGAUUCUCGAGCAGGAAAGGAAAGCAAACCAAACCAAAUACACACAGCUGUCACGAGCGCUGGUCCUGCUGCUCGGCUUCCCGGCUCUCUUCCAAAAACAUUUGCUGACAGGAGGCUUGUUGGGCUGUCGUAGCCUAUUUUGGCUAUUUAAAGUCAGGUAACUGUCCCAGGGGUAACUUUGGCUUGUACUCAACACAAAUAUUACGAGUUUAGAUUCAACCUGCUUUCACGCACCUUGCUGAAAUGGAAACGGGCAGCAGGUUUUUAGCACAGGAUGAAAGAACUCCCCUGAAGUACUUUUUGAGUGGGAGGGCUGGAACUUGUCCCUGGACUGGUGUUUUCAUCCAUCCCCACUGCAGUACUGUUGCUUGGGUGCUUUGUUUUGUUUUUGCUGUGAAACAUAGCUGGAGCACAUCUGGCAGGACUUCUGUGGCCUGUUUGUCUUAUGAGUAUUCAGUGGUUUUUAAUGGACUGGAGAACCAGUGGCAUGAAGCAGGGAAAGUUUGGAUAAAAGUACGGAAUUAAGUUUAAACUCAAUGAUCAUACCACAGUAGUAGCUUCAUUUUGGGGAAAAAUAAAUACACCUGUAGAUUUGUUGGUUGAAACAGCAGGAGCAGAACUCUUAACUAAGUCUGUCUCACAUCCCACAGUCAGGCAGGGAGGAGAUUUGAGAGGGAAAUGGGGAUAUUGAAGCUUGUCCUUGUGCUUUGCUUUAAAGGUUUGAGUGGCUGGGAAGCAAACCUCUUUGCUGCAUGUUCAGCCUCACACUCCCAGACCUCACUCCUGUCUGCCUUCCCCUCUAGCAGCAGAGUCUGAUGAAACUUUAGCCAAAUUUUAUUGUAGAUGCAAAAACAAUCUCUCUCCUCUGUUCAGAGAUGUCAGAUUAAGUUCUCAAUCUCUUCUCGAUAGAUGCAGGUUGGAAACAGCACGCCUGGGCAUUGCCUUCUGCACCAGAAACCUGAGAGAGGCAUUGGUGCCAAACAGUCACUGUCCCCUUGGAAGGUGAACCUGCUACCAGCCCUCCCUGAGCUCAUAGCAGCUGAAGGAAUCAAAUCCUGGCAGCUAAGGGUGAACAAUUGCAUUAAAAUGCAAGCAGGGGAAACAAAUAUUCUGAAAGCAUCACCCGUGAUCUUGUCAGGAGAGCUGCUCAGCACAGCCUGGUUAAAACUGGAUUCAAAGCUCAUCUGUUUCAAGAACCACUGCAGAAAACUCAUUUUAGCACGGUUUGGUUUCAGAGGGUGAUGCAAGCUUUCCCUGUGGUGGAACUGCUUUCAUAGAAACCAGUCCUGGCAGACGAAUCACUUGUAUUCUGUGUCCUUUUGUAGUGUAUCUAUGUGUGGAACUUAGUCCUUAGUAAAGCUCACCGUUCUCCGUUCAGCGCUGAGGUUUGUUUGCCUCUGCAGAAAAGUCCUUGCCCCUGCCACGAGGGAAAUCCCCAGCGCUCGUGUCCUAUGCAAGGCAGGGCCCACCUCGCUCACCUCGUCUGCCCGUGACCACAAGAGGGCAAACACGGCAGUGGCUGGGUGCUGCAUCAGCCCGCAUCCCGCUGCUCCUGGCUGAAGCAAGCUCUUGCUGCCCAGGCUUCGAGAGCUGCGGCGUCUCCUGUUUCUUCCCCGAGAGGACGUCAAGUCACAGUGCGCCUCGUGUAAGCGCUUUGAAUUACCUUAUUAACUGAUGAACUUUUUUUUUCUGAAAAGGGAAACAAAAUGUCCUAAAGCGGAUGGCUUCUGCUUCCCUAGAAAUUCAGCUCAUUAUUCUUUUCCAUCUUAUGUUUUCAGUUAGGAGGGAAAAAUAAAACCAAAGCCAAAGUGAGAAUUAUGGCUGAUGCCAGAAGCGGCUUUUGGAACGCAAGUGGUGCUUUCCAAAUUGCUUCUGUGAUUUGGUACAGGCCUGCUGAAGAACCCCUUGCUUAUUUCAGUUGAAGGAACAGUCCAACCUCAUUCCCAUCACUAGAGAGCACAGAAAGCUUCUAUAAAUACACUGUGAAUUUUCUGUAUGCAAAUACUGCCGCUGCAGCCCUCGGGAGGAAGAGGAGAGGGGACGGGACAAAGCAGUGCAGUAAUAUUUAUUAUCCAACAUAAUUACAUAUUUAAAAACACCUCCUCAGACACGAAGCUCCCUUCUGCUCCCUUCCAAAGCAGAAAGUAACAAGGUGCUACUGUUCUUAUUCACAGAGAAUUAAUCAUCUGCAUAAAGCUCUGUACCUUUGAAGGAAUAUUUCUACCACCUUCACAGUGCCUCCCUCAGCAGCACGCCCCAUCAGUAACACACAGCACUUGUCCUAUAAGAGCCCCCAGCAGCCAAGAGAACAGGUGGCCCAGGUGGGACUGGGUGAGCACAGAGCCUCACGUGCCUCAGGCAGGCUGUGGUCCUGGUUCCUAUGGCCACCUAUGAGAUGAGGCUGCUCCCCCAGAGUAGUUCCUUAAUGCCACAGUCCUGAAGUUAAACCUACCCUCCUUACAACAAGCAGCUGGAGAAAAAAGCUCCCUGUGUCAGCUGUGCUGUGACCACUCUGUUCCACCUGCUGCUCCUUGAAUGGAACUUCCCAAACCUGCCACCCAUUAUGGUAAGCCCAAACAAUGACAAGCAAUGGCUACAGAAAAAUACACCUUGAACAAAAGCUUUAGGGGCUAGAGAUCAUUCCCAGCCCACCCCUGCUCUGUACUCCUGGCCUCCUGCACAGACACUCCUCGACACUGCAGUGAUCUGCAGUGUAAGAAGUUUAAUGCAAAUGAAAUAGCUGCACUGUACCUGAAUUACACUGCAGCUCGUCUGGUUUGUUUCAGUUGGCGGCUGCUGCACAAAACCUCUGAUUCCUUUUGCUCUAGCACAAGGAAAGCGUUAAAGGAGUGCUGCUGCAGGGAUGGAUUGAUAGAAAGCCAACCAGCAGAGGACAGAAGAAACGAAAAGAAGCCACAUUUGAGGUAAGCAGGUAGUUUUGGCAAUCAAAACAGACAAAGCAAAGGGAUCUUACUUUUAGUGGCCCCAGGGGAGCAGGGCAACACUUUGGGUUCCUGCACUCUAAAAACACAUCAACAUCGCUCUGGAUAAAAGCAGCUGGCCAGAAAGAGCUGCUGGAGGACGUUAAGGUAUCCAGGGCCGUGGUCAUGCUGCUUUUGCAGGCUGCUGCAGGAGGUUUCCAUUACAAACCUCACUCCACUGGAUGUGUCGAUUAUGAAACCAUGAAAAAAAACAGGAGCUUAUUUUUAAAAGCUCAUCAGGCUUAUUAGCAUAUGAGCUGAGCCUUCCUGAAGCCGCAGCUUCUUUGGGCUGAAAGCACUGCACUUUCUGCUUGGAAAAGCAAAAUCCCAAGUCCCACAGCAGCACAACUCUAUGCAGAGGGGAGGAAGAGUGAAAACUACACUUACUUAACCCAGUUACUGGUUCCUUACGUAAAGCAUGACAGGCUCAGCUUAGUUCCCCAGCACAGUUGUUUUGAGGGCCUGUGUCAAGCUCUGGAUAAAUCCCAGAUGCAAAAAACUGACAGGAGUGGAGAAAGGAAGGCUAAGAUUUUUCUCUUUGAGGAUGAAGACGUUUCUCCAACAUCUCAGUAGCACAGGGGCAUUAAGAUCUCUUGCUCUGCUCACCACAGGGCUACUUUG